CUCUCGUUUUCUGCUCACUUUCCCUCACUUUCUCAUAAACAAAAGGGGUUUAGAAAGACGAAAAACCCUAGCACUCUCUUUAGCAAAAUUUCCCCUUGCUUUCUCUCAUUUUCUCUCGUUUUUUCCUUCCUUCUCCCAAAUGACGCAAUAACCAACGCCAAAAAUGAUACCCAGAUCUUGGUCCCGCUUUCUCUUCCUCCAUUCCCUCAGAAAACCUAAAAAACCCCAAAUUCCUCAACUUUCCCGGCAAGUCUUAGCUUUUCCUCCCACCACCCAAACAUCCCCAUUCUCCUAUUCCUCGACCACCUUCUUCUCCACCUCCUCUGCUGCCUACAACCGUGUCGCCCAGGACCUCUUGGCCGAUCUAGAGCGCGAGAAACAGCGCGAAAGAGAGGCAAGGAAGCGAGCUGGACUAGACACCAAGGACAUUGAUCAAGAGGAUGAAGAGGAUUACUUGGGCGUGGGGCCAUUGAUAGAGAAGCUAGAGCGGAAUAUGAAAGCCCAUACUGGGGAUCUAUAUCUUCGCGAAGAGCCAUCCGAUUCGGAUAGCGAUGAGGAUGAUGAG
rnacentral:misc_RNA from 1 species